UCUCAAGAGUUUCAUUACAAUCUGCAUCUUAACGUGUAUACUGAAUGAGUAAAAUAGUGACUUUUGAUAAAGAUGCAUCUGCUGCUGCGAUUGUGUCUGGUAUGUUCGUUGAUUUUGGUCUGUUUUGCACAAAAACCGGGAAAAUGUCCAACUGUCGGCAUUAGUCCUGCCACCUGUGCAUGGGAGUGCAAGUCCGAUAAUGAAUGUCCCUAUCGUGAGAUAUGCUGCCCCACUUACAACUGUAGGGGCGUCUGUGUGGCACCAACACCCAUCUCCAGGUAAUGUGGAAGAGGAAGACAUACACUUAGUACAAUGAAGACCACGGGGCUAAACAAGGGCGUAUUUAGAAAGUGUGUGUUUAAAAGGUGUUACAUAUGCAUGAAUAAAAGGAAUGCUUUAUUGAA